ACAAUACUUUCUGCAAAAACUUCAAGUGUUCUGCGUUCAAGCAUAGAAAACAAAAUGGAAAAAUAACACAGGCUGAGUUUGACACUGAAAUGGGUAAACAUUUACCGGAUUGUGACAAGAACUACAAUGGAACUGCCAAAAAUAUGGAACCGGAUGCCACGGUAUUGAUGUGGGGUCGAUCUCUAGACAAAAAACUCAGGUAUACGACCUUGGUCGGUGAUGGUGAUUCUUCAGCCUUCAAUAAAAUUUGUGCAAUGAAUAAUGGUGAUGGACCAUAUGCAGACGUAAGAGUGGAUAAGGUUGAGUGCAUAAAUCACUUCAGCAAGAGACUUGCAACACAGCUUUGUAACUUUCAGAAAACAGCUGUCGAAUUGAAGGAGACAAAAGAGCCUGUCAAAAAGACCAGACGAAUGUCAUUGGUCAAUGGGAAGGGAAAAUUAACUGACAACACCAUUCUGAAGUUGGCAAGUUACUUUACAAAAGCCAUUAGGGAUAACAUCAACUAGGACUGGAAACAAAUGAGGGAUGCCUGCCUGUCUGGACUGUUCCAUGCAACGUCGACGGAUGAAAAGCCAAUGCACAUGCAUUGCCCUAAAGGCAAAGACUCUUGGUGUUUCCACCAGCAAGACAUUACAAAUGAAAUGACCCCACGAUCACACAAGACGAUGAAAGUACAUUUUCAGCUACCCAGUAUUCACAUGACUGAAGUCUUGAAGAUAUACAACAAUCUUGUAUCGGAGGACAACAUGAACAAGUGCCUGAAGGGGAAGACUCAGAAUCCAAACGAGUCUCUACACCACCGAGUUUGGAAACUCGCCCCCAAAGACAAAUAUGUUAGUCGAGUAUUGGUAGACUUCGCCAUGGCAAUGACAGCUGUCAACUACAACGCUGGGUAUAUGAUGGGAUCUCUGACGAACCUCCUUGGUCUACCACAGAGUGACAUUCGGGACCGGUACUUCAACAUGAAGGACAAGAAGAUGCACCACCAAGCCAAGAAAGGCCCCUGAGGAAGCUGACCCUGGCUAUGGGGCAGGUGCCUACUAGUGCCAUUGCAGUGCCACCUUGAGGACCCAUAUUUCAGACCAAUUAUUUUAGGCGAUCUUCAUGGAACUUACACACCUUACUGAAGGCAUGCCUAUCUACAAGGAUGCAAAUUUUGAAUGAAAUUGGUCGACAUCAACCUCAGCCACAGUUGGUUGAACUUUGACCUUUGUUUUCUACAGGCUGCGAUGCUGAAACUUGGACCAGGUGCAGCCCUUUUCACAUGUAACACAUCAAUAAAUUUUGAUUGCACUAAACAACUUUUAAUCAUCCCCAAUAACGCCCCCUUGUGUAAUUGACUUUGACUGUGCUGUGUGCCGUGUGUGUGU